AUCCAGCUGACAAGUCCCAAACAGGACGAAAUGCGCAUCCUGGAU
rnacentral:hammerhead_ribozyme from 1 species